GUAUCGGCAAUGCUCAUGAAACACAUGCUGUGAUGCCUUUAGACAAACGUAGUCAUGUAUCCCUUGAGAAUAAUAUUAAUGAGUAGUAACAACGAGCAGGAGGAAACAAAACUGAAAAUUGCAAACACAGUUAAGAAAUUGAAAAGUCUCGAAGUCUUGUCAUCUUGUGAAACACAUAAUUUAAAAAAGAUAUCUUUAAUGACAGAUGUAAGUCUGCAUACUCUAAGAAGAAUUAAAAUUGAAGGGUCUAAAGAUCAAGGACAGUGGAAUACUCCAGGGAAUAAUGUCCACAUACAGAAACAAUUUCAAAUUGGGAUAAUUUUGAUAUU